rnacentral:rRNA from 1 species
CCUACGGAGGACAGCAGUGGGGGAUAUUGCACAAUGGGGGGAACCCUGAUGCAGCGACGCCGCGUGGGUGAAGGAGCGUUUCGGCGCGUAAAGCCCUAUCGGCAGGGAAGAAGGAGGACGGUACCUGACUAAGAAGCCCCGGCUAACUACGUCCCAGCAGCCGCGGUAAUUAGUAGGGGGCAAGCGUCAUCCGGAUUUACUGGGUGUAAAGGGGGCGCAGUCGGGAGCGCAAGCCAGGAGGGAAAGCCCGGGGCCCAACCCCGGGACUGCUCUUGAAACUGCGCGGCUGGAGUGCAGGAGGGGCAGGCGGAAUUCCUGGUGUAGCGGUGAAAUGCGUAGAUAUCAGUAGGAACACCGGUGGCGAAGGCGGCCUGCUGGACUGCGACUGACGUUGAGGCCCGAAAGCGUGGGGAGCAAACAGGAUUAGAUACCCCAGUAGUC